UGUUCGUCCAUUUUUCCGUAACCCAUCUGUUCUUGGAUAUACCUCUGUUUUACUUCAAUAUUCUUAUGCUCUGUGGCAUUUGAAUGUUGAUGAUGGGCAUGGCGGUUCCUUUUACUUGCAAUCAGCACUCGUGGAUUUCUACCAUUUCUGGCCAUUCGCUCCAAAGUAGCCCUGAUUUUCGAAUCUCUUGCCAAUCGAAGGUAUUGGUUCCUGAUAUUUGGAGGUCUUCAGCGGAGAGGUAUCGCGAUCGGGUAGCAUUACUGGAUCCAUACCAUAAUCCUGCUUCCAAAAUUACUUAUUAACAGGGCUUGUGAAUAUUUCAUAUUUACACAUGGAGUGGAGCAAGCUUACAUAACAACGAGAAAGUUAAAGGUAUUUCACUUGCACCAAAUCUGGGAAAUUAGAAUUUUUUUAAACUCUUCUGUAUUUGAGUUGUCAGGAUGAUCUUCGUGAUUAUCAACCAGACUACUUGGUUUCUGUUCCAUUGGUGUGAUUAUAGUUCCCAACAAGGGACAAUUGUUGUCUGCUAUAUUCGAUCUUAGCAAUCAAACCUUGACAAACCUGAUUUAUAGUGAACUCAUAAAGUGGACUUCAGAGUGUUCAUUUCAAAUUGGACCAAUCCUCAUUGCCAAUGAACCAUUCACGAUGGAUAAUGGGUUACUAAGCCCUACAUUGAAAGUUUGAAGACACAAGGUUACUUCUUAUUACAAGAAGGAAAUAGAGAACUUAUUCAAGGCAAUAUAAUGUGGUAAGGCAAUAUAAUGUGGUUAAUUAGUAUCUGGACUUGGACAAACCUUUAGCACAAGCUAUAUAUAUAAAUAACUUUAUAAUAUGCUACA